GAGAUGGUUAAUAGUUCAGACAGAUGAGGAACGUCUUGUCUCUGAGAUGGUUAAUAGUUCAGACAGAUGAGGAACGUCUUGUCUCUGAGAUGGGUUAAUAGUUCAGAUGAGGAACGUCUUGUCUCUGAGAUGGUUAAUAGUUCAGAUGAGGAACGUCUUGUCUCUGAGAUGGUUAAUAGUUCAGACAGAUGAGGAACGUCUUGUCUCUGAGAGGGUUAAUAGUUCAGACAGAUGAGGAACGUCUUGUCUCUGAGAUGGUUAAUAGUUCAGACAGAUGAGGAACGUAUUGUCUCUGAGAUGGUUUAAUAGUUCAGACAGAUGAGGAACGUCUUGUGUCUGAGAGGGUUAAUAGUUCAGACAGAUGAGGAACGUCUUGUCUCUGAGAUGGGUUAAUAGUUCAGACAGAUGAGGAACGUCUUGUGUCUGAGAGGGUUAAUAGUUCAGACAGAUGAGGAACGUCUUGUCUCUGAGAUGGUUAAUAGUUCAGACAGAUGAGGA